GCUAAAUGAUAAGCUACCCAACGUGGGACUUGAACCCCAUGACCCUGAGAUUAAGAGUCACAUGCUCUACCAACUGAGCUAGC
rnacentral:tRNA from 1 species